AUCACUAACCACCCCUCCUUCCCUUAUAUUAUCCUUUCGAACCUCCUUCUUCUCCUUAUUUUGUUUCAUCACUAUCCUCAUCAUCCAAAGCUUCUGUACUAUUUCAUAUCAAUUUCAUCGUUCAAAUGGAGGCUCUCUACUCCAAGCUGUAUGAUAAGUACACCAAGCAGAAAGCUUCUGAGAUAGAGCAGCUAAGGUUGGAUCAAGAAGAAAAGUUUUAAGACCUACGUCUCUGCCACAUAUGAACUAAUUAGUUAUUUAAAAGAAGAAAAGGACACGCUACACGCACAAUUAGGUGAAUUGAGACAGGAAAUUGCUUCAAUCAGGCAACGACUUUAUCCAUGUCUGGGAUGGGUGAAGAACAACCGACCAGGGGAAGAAGAAAUGAUGAUGAUCUACCGCGUGGGAACGUUUGAGAGAGUAGCACCGGAAUGGAUGCGGGAUGUGAUAUUAUUUAGUAAUAUCAGCAUGUUGAGAACCUUUUUUCACAAGGCUAUCGGUCUAUUUUCAGUCUUUAUGACCUUUGGUUUCCAUGACUUUUAAUCUGUCUAUGAGAUAUAGUAUUCCAAUAAAAUAGUGAAGAGUUGGUUUAUAUAUCGUUCA